GGCUGGUCUGAGGGUAGUGGGUUAUCAGAAUUUAUUAACAUUAGUGUCACUAAAGUUGGUAUAAAACCCCCGAUUGCUAAAUUUGACUGGCUAGAA
ensembl:misc_RNA Y_RNA Y RNA